GUAGCUCAUUGGUUAGUAGCUUUCGCAGAAAGCAGAUAGCGCUUGACUGGCAGUCAAGAGGUCGUGGGUUCGAAUCCCAUCUUCUCCA
rnacentral:tRNA from 1 species